rnacentral:rRNA from 1 species
GAUGAACGCUGGCGGCGUGCUUAACACAUGCAAGUCGAACGAAGCACUUUAACCUGAUUCUUCGGAUGAAGGUUUUUGUGACUGAGUGGCGGACGGGUGAGUAACGCGUGGGUAACCUGCCUCAUACAGGGGGAUAACAGUUAGAAAUGACUGCUAAUACCGCAUAAGACCACAGAGCCGCAUGGCUCGGUGGGAAAAACUCCCGUGGUAUGAGAUGGACCCGCGUCUGAUUAGGUAGUUGGUGGGGUAACGGCCUACCAAGCCAACGAUCAGUAGCCGACCUGAGAGGGUGACCGGCCACAUUGGGACUGAGACACGGCCCAAACUCCUACGGGAGGCAGCAGUGGGGAAUAUUGCACAAUGGGGGAAACCCUGAUGCAGCGACGCCGCGUGAGCGAAGAAGUAUUUCGGUAUGUAAAGCUCUAUCAGCAGGGAAGAAAAUGACGGUACCUGACUAAGAAGCACCGGCUAAAUACGUG